AUUGAACGCUGGCGGCAGGCCUAACACAUGCAAGUCGAACGGUAACAGGAAGAAGCUUGCUUCUUUGCUGACGAGUGGCGGACGGGUGAGUAAUGUCUGGGAAACUGCCUGAUGGAGGGGGAUAACUACUGGAAACGGUAGCUAAUACCGCAUAACGUCGCAAGACCAAAGAGGGGGACCUUCGGGCCUCUUGCCAUCGGAUGUGCCCAGAUGGGAUUAGCUAGUAGGUGGGGUAACGGCUCACCUAGGCGACGAUCCCUAGCUGGUCUGAGAGGAUGACCAGCCACACUGGAACUGAGACACGGUCCAGACUCCUACGGGCGGCAGCAGUGGGGAAUAUUGCACAAUGGGCGCAAGCCUGAUGCAGCCAUGCCGCGUGUAUGAAGAAGGCCUUCGGGUUGUAAAGUACUUUCAGCGGGGAGGAAGGGAGUAAAGUUAAUACCUUGGCUCAUUGACGUUACCCGCAGAAGAAGCACCGGCUAACUCCGUG
rnacentral:rRNA from 1 species